rnacentral:rRNA from 1 species
GGGAGGCUUACUGCCAAGUCGAGGGGGCAUCGGGAGGGAAGCUUACUUUCCUUGCCGGCGACCGGCGCACGGGUGAGUAACACGUAUGCAACCUGCCCUCUUCAGGGGGACAACCUUCCGAAAGGGAGGCUAAUCCCGCGUAUAUCGGUUUCGGGCAUCCGUUAUCGAGGAAAGAUUCAUCGGAAGAGGAUGGGCAUGCGGCGCAUUAGCUAGACGGCGGGGUAACGGCCCACCGUGGCGACGAUGCGUAGGGGUUCUGAGAGGAAGGUCCCCCACACUGGUACUGAGACACGGACCAGACUCCUACGGGAGGCAGCAGUGAGGAAUAUUGGUCAAUGGGAGAGAUCCUGAACCAGCCAAGCCGCGUGAGGGAAGACGGCCCUAUGGGUUGUAAACCUCUUUUGUCGGAGAACAAAACCCGGGACGUGUCCCGGACUGCGUGUAUCCGAAGAAAAAGCAUCGGCUAACUCCGUGCCAGCAGCCGCGGUAAUACGGAGGAUGCGAGCGUUAUCCGGAUUUAUUGGGUUUAAAGGGUGCGUAGGCGGUCCGUUAAGUCAGCGGUAAAAUUGCGGGGCUCAACCCCGUCGAGCCGUUGAAACUGGCAGACUUGAGUUGGCGAGAAGUACGCGGAAUGCGCGGUGUAGCGGUGAAAUGCAUAGAUAUCGCGCAGAACUCCGAUUGCGAAGGCAGCGUACCGGCGCCAGACUGACGCUGAGGCACGAAAGCGUGGGGAUCGAACAGGAUUAGAUA